AGUGAACGCUGGCGGUAGGCCUAACACAUGCAAGUCGAACGGCAGCACAGUAAGAGCUUGCUCUUACGGGUGGCGAGUGGCGGACGGGUGAGGAAUACAUCGGAAUCUACUUUUUCGUGGGGGAUAACGUAGGGAAACUUACGCUAAUACCGCAUACGACCUACGGGUGAAAGAAGGGGAUCUUCUGACCUUGCGCGAUUGAAUGAGCCGAUGUCGGAUUAGCUAGUUGGCGGGGUAAAGGCCCACCAAGGCGACGAUCCGUAGCUGGUCUGAGAGGAUGAUCAGCCACACUGGAACUGAGACACGGUCCAGACUCCUACGGGAGGCAGCAGUGGGGAAUAUUGGACAAUGGGCGCAAGCCUGAUCCAGCCAUACCGCGUGGGUGAAGAAGGCCUUCGGGUUGUAAAGCCCUUUUGUUGGGAAAGAAAAGCAGCGGGUUAAUACCCCGCUGUUCUGACGGUACCCAAAGAAUAAGCACCGGCUAACUUCGUG
rnacentral:rRNA from 1 species